CCUACGGGUGGCAGCAGUGAGGAAUCUUCCACAAUGGGCGAAAGCCUGAUGGAGCAACGCCGCGUGAAGGAUGAAGGCCUUCGGGUUGUAAACUUCUUUUAUGAGUGAAGAAUAUGACGGUAACUCAUGAAUAAGCACCGGCUAACUACGUGCCAGCAGCCGCGGUCAUACGUAGGGUGCAAGCAUUAUCCGGAGUGACUGGGCGUAAAGAGUUGCGUAGGCGGUUUAAUAAGUGAAUAGUGAAACCUGGUGGCUCAACCAUACAGACUAUUAUUCAAACUGUUAAACUCGAGAAUGGUAGAGGUAACUGGAAUUUCUUGUGUAGGAGUGAAAUCCGUAGAUAUAAGAAGGAACACCGAUGGCGUAGGCAGGUGACUGGACCAUUUCUGACGCUAAGGCACGAAAGCGUGGGGAGCGAACCGGAUUAGAUACCCCGGUAGUC
rnacentral:rRNA from 1 species